rnacentral:tRNA from 1 species
AAAUAAGAAACAAUAGUUUGUACUUAGUUUCGACCUAAGAUUAUGAUGAAAUCCAUCCUUAUUUU